AGUAGGGUCAGCUAAACAAGCUAUCGGGCCCAUACCCCGAAAAUGGAAGUUCAACUCCUCCCCCUACUA
rnacentral:tRNA from 1 species